GAGAUGCAGAUUGGGUUCAUCAGAAAUGAGAAUCAUAUAUAUAUGGUUUACAGAGGGGCUACAAUCAGGAAAAUUUAUGAUCAGAGUUCACCGGUGAAAAAAUAGAUUACGAAUAGACACACGGCGUAACUCUGACUUGUUUGAGACAAUGAUGAAAAGAACCCAAACUCAUGUUAAACGAUAACAAUUUACAAUAUGAGAAAACUAUAAUUGUUGGAAACUUGAGUUUUUUUCAUAUAACGUGAUGAAUCUCAUUUAAAAAUUAAACUCAUAAUACACUUGUAGACCCGAUCCUCAGAGGAAGCCGAAGAAGCAAAGGCUUCCGACCUUCAUAAAUAUUUAUUAGGUUCAACCAUACAAAGUAUCAUUUAGCUUAUUGCUAUAAAUGUUGGUGUUUAUAUCUCAAUAAUCUGGGUUUAAGUCAUGAACUUGAUA
rnacentral:lncRNA from 1 species